rnacentral:SRP_RNA from 2 species
GCUGGGUGUGGUGGUGCACACCUGUAAUCCCUGCUACUCAGGAGGCUGAGGCAGGAGAAUCACUUGAACCCAGGAGGUGGAGGCUGCAGUGAGCCAAGAUCACACCACUGCACUCUAGCCUGGGUGACAAAGCAAAACUCUGUCUCAA